CCUACGGGUGGCAGCAGUGAGGAAUAUUGGUCAAUGGGCUUACGCCUGAACCAGCCAAGUCGCGUGAGGGAAGACUGCCCUAUGGGUUGUAAACCUCUUUUGUCAGGGAGCAAUUGGCGCUACGUGUAGCGUUAUCGAGAGUACCUGAAGAAAAAGCAUCGGCUAACUCCGUGCCAGCAGCCGCGGUAAUACGGAGGAUGCGAGCGUUAUCCGGAUUGACUGGGCGUAAAGGGUGCGUAGGUGGUUUGAUAAGUUGGUAGCGUAACUCCGAGGCUCAACCUCGGCACUACUACCAAAACUGUAGGACUUGAGUGCAGGAGGGGCAACUGGAAUUCCUAGUGUAGCGGUGGAAUGCGUAGAUAUUAGGAGGAACACCAGUGGCGAAGGCGAGUUGCUGGACUGUAACUGACACUGAGGCACGAAAGCGUGGGGAGCAAACAGGAUUAGAUACCCGGGUAGUC
rnacentral:rRNA from 1 species